AGUCAGGGCUGCAGCCAGAGCCCGGAGAUAGUUGGGCAGGGCUCCAGGCGUCCCCGAAUGCUCGUCGUGGAGUUUUCCUGAUCCUGUCGGGUCCCUAAGGAACGCUUGGCGGGGAGCGUGGACGCCCUGGGGCCAGGCCACCGCGGUCACUGAGAGCCACCCCCCCGGAAACUGGAGAAAAACGGAGUAGAAGAGACCUAGGGGACAGACUUGGCCGGGUCAAGGGAAACCAGCUCAUAUUUGGAACAAAAUACGCCUUAUGUUUGCCCAGCACUGAAUUUAGAAGCAUUUUCACAUUCUCGAGUUUAACUAGUUUUGCAACAGUGCCACGAGCAAAUUAUUAAACGUGUUUUAAAGAUGAAGAGACUGAAGCUAGGUAAAUUGGACUUGGGUAAGAUGGAAGCGCUACUUAACGUUAAGGAGAGUCUGCGACCCUGAUGUUCUCAGGCUGUAUCUCGCUUAGUGGGACUACACCUUAUUAUUGUCGGAGGAAACAAAUGAAGAGGAAAGAGACCGUGAAGAGUAUUCCUGGAGGGACUCAAGAUACCGCUGUAGGUAGAACCCCAAGAUAGCUGUGUAGAGUGACAGCUGAUGUCGAAUGACUUCAUCUUUUCCACUGCUGCGGGUGAAAUUAUCUGAGGAGGUAGGAAGAGGAGAUGGUUUAGGGAUGCCAUAUGACAAAAGCUUUGGAAAAUUAAGAAGAGGCCGGGCGCGGUGGCUCAUGCCUGUAAUCCCAGCACUUUGGGAGUCCGAGGCGGGCGGAUCUCACCUAGGAUCAGGAGUUCCAGACCAGCCUGGCUAACAUGGUGAAACGCCAUUUCUACUAAAAAUACAAAAAUUAUCUGGGCGUGGUGGCGCGCGCCUGUAAUCCCAGCUACCCGGGAGGCUGAGGCAGGAGAAUAGCUUGAACCCGGGAGGCUCAGGUUGCAGUGAGCCGAGAUCGCGCCAUUACACUCCAGACUGGAUGAAAGAGCAAAACUUCGUCAAAAAAAAAAAAAAAAAAGGAGAAGAAAAUUAAGAAGAGAAGGAUGAGAGAAUUACCAAGGCAGCAGUGAAGACUUACGUGCUGUUGUAUGAUACAAAUGUCCAGGGGCUAGCAUGGAACAAUGUUGGCUGACUGCGCCAGGAGCUCUAAUCUGGCAAGAAUCUAGAGGAGAAGGUGGAUUGUGGGAUGAAUAAGCAAAGGAGGAGAGUUAAAGAGUUGGGGGUGGUAGUGAGAGAGCAGAAGAGAAGCACCUGGUUACAGGUUGAGGCUGUGCAGAAUGUAGAAAGACAUCAGAGAUGUUCAAUGGUGCUCACUUCGGCAGCACAUAUGCUAACAUUGGAAUAAUACAGAGAAAAUUAACAUGGCCCCUGUGCAAGGCUGAUGUACAAAUUCAUGAACUGUUCCUUUUUUUUUUUUUAAAGAAAUGUCCAAUGGACUGAAUGCUAGACAGAUAAUAGUUUAUCAGGUUAAGGAACUUUAUCAAAAAAUUGGCUUAAAUAAUAAAGGGAAAAUAUUGCCUCACAAUCCUAGGUAGAUCUGGGCUUCAGGUAAGUCUUCACACAAGGCUCAAAGAAGUCUCUGGGCCAGGCGCGGUGGCUCACGCCUGUAAUCCCAGCACUUUGGGAGAUAGAGGCAGGCAGAUCACCUGAGGUCAAAAAUCCAAGACCAGCCUGGUAUUACUAAAAAUACAAAAUAAUUAGCCGUGCAUAGUGGUGCACACCUGUAGUCCCAGCUACGUGGGAGGCUGAGGCAUGAGAAUUGCUUGAACCCAGGCGGUGGAGGCUGCAGUGAGCCGAGAUUGCACCACUGCACUCCAGCCCGGGCAACAGAGUGAGACUCCAUCUCAAUUAGUAAUAAUAAUAAAGAAGUAUCUGGUUUCUCUUGG
ensembl:lncRNA novel transcript